rnacentral:rRNA from 1 species
CAGCAGCCACGGUAAUACAGAGGGUGCGAGCGUUAUUCGGAUUUACUGGGCGUAAAGCGUGUGUAGGCGGCUUUUUAAGUCGGAUGUGAAAUCCCAGAGCUUAACUUUGGAAUUGCAGUCGAAACUGGGAAGCUAGAGUAUGGGAGAGGAUGGUAGAAUUUCAGGUGUAGCGGUGAAAUGCGUAGAGAUCUGGAGGAAUACCGAUGGCGAAGGCAGUCAUCUGGCCUAAUACUGACGCUGAGGUACGAAAGCAUGGGGAGCAAACAGGAUUAGAUACCCGAGUAGUCCCUGUCUCUUAUAA